GAAAAUUGGUCCAGUUUUUUUCCUUAGCACAGACCAAGAAAGUGAGAACAAAGAGUUCCCAUACAAUUUUCCUUCGGAAUAAAACUCUCUCUCUUCUAUCUGUGUUCCAAACCCUAGCCGCCGCUACCUCUCCUCUUUUCCAAAACAAAUAACUAACACCGUUUUCUUGCUCAUCAUCGCAUGGCCGUCAUAAUGAACCGUUUAGAUUCUCCGUUCGAAGAACAUAACCGUCUUCCUUCGCAUUCUCCAUCUUACUUCGUAUGUCUUUGAUGUAUUUAGAAGUACUGUUUCUGUGUUAAUAUGUUUUGAAUCAUUGCUGGUUUUGAUGUAAACGUUCAAAAUCAUAACUUUUAUUUUCUCCCUUUUAAAAUCCAAUUAUAGAUCGAGUUUAUCGCUGGAACGGUAAAGUUUACUUUAUCCAGGGGGAAAUUUCUUUUCCAAAAGUUUCUGGAUUUCUUUAAAUCACUAAUCUUUACUUUAACAAUUCACUUUUGUUAUUUGUGUCCAAAAAAAAUUCACUUUUGCAAAACCUAUGGAUUUGUAUAUACUGAAAACAUUCUUUAUUAUUUUUAAAAUUUGGAAACAUAAAUAGCAUAAUUUUAAUUUGAUUAGAGUUGUAAAUAUGGAAAUUAAAGAAGAAAAUUAAAUAUGGUUAUUUUAUUGGGAAUUAAUAUUUUCCGGUCGGUUAUAAAUGAUUGAAUUAAGGCUAAAGUUCUAUAUAUGACUUUGAAUAGAAUAAUUUCUAUAAAUGAUUGAAAUUAAAUGAUGACAUUUUAAUUUCUUACACAAGAUUCAAAUUUCAAGAUUAGUAUGACUUGUGAAUAGAACAAUUCUUCCUAAAUAAAAGUGUUAAAGUAUACUAAGUAGUCCAAACUAGAUUUUUCAAAUCACCAUGGAAAGGCUUCCAAAAAUGUUGUGCUGGUGGAGCCAUAGUUCAUCCACCUCCAGAAUUCCCAACUCUAAAUUCCUCCGAGCAAGUCUAUAUCUCAUCCCUCCCUCUUCUCAAGAUGCUCAAACACGGUAGGGUUGGUGCUCCCAUGGUGUGGUUAUGGGUUUGAUGCUUGGAGAAUUCGUGGAUGAGUACACUGUCUGUAUGGUUGAUGUGUUUGCAAUGCCACAUAGUGGAAUUGAGAUGGUUGUUGGAUGGUAUCAUUCAUAUUCUGGACUUAGAUGUUGGUUGUCUGGUGUUGACAUCAAUACACAACAGGUUCUACUACAGUCCUUCUAUUUUAUGUCUUGUUUAUGUAUAUGUUUGGAUUGGUGAUAUGUGAUGAAUGAAAUAGAGUGGAGUGAUCGGUAAUCAUAUUCCAUUGUUUAGAGUUUUUGAAUAAUAGAUGAAGCGAGAUGGAGCAUGAUAGAUUCCUCUCCAUCCAAUCCUUCAAUUUUCAUUCUGUUCAAUUUGGGUUGAAUGCAAUUGAAUGAACUAUAUAGUUAUGUUUCAUUCCAUUAAAUAAUAAAAAAUACCCAAACAAUAGAAUGGUAUAUCUGAUCCAUUCUGCCCCGUACUAAAAUCUGUUAAGUUCCAUUUUUCUUCUCUGUUCUACUCCAUCAAUCCAAACAUAGUUUAAAUUUCCCAAUACAAUUGCUAUAAUUCUUAAUAUAAAUUGUGUUUAUUAAUUUAGCAUGCAUUGAUUUACUCUUGUAGAACAAAUACACUUAUGUGAUUUCGCUAAUAUUUCAUCGUUUUAAUCAAUAGUCUAAUGACUCAUCAGUCAUCACUUCGACUGAGUUAAUGAUGGUAUUUUUUGAUAAACAUAAACUAAUAUUAAUUAAUGGAUCUUGAAAGAUAGAACAAAUCAAUCGUCUAGUAGCCAUGUGAUUUGAGAAUAUUAUUUUUAACAUUUCCAUUUAUUCUCUAGUUUGCAAUUUAUUUGGUCUACAUGUGCGUUUUACACGCUUCAAAAAGGACACAUGCCAACUCCCCUUCUUUUUUAUAUGAUACUCCCUCUGGCCUUAAUUAUAAGCAAAUAUUCUCUUUUUAGGUUCAUUGAGUAAUGAA